GCACUUCGGGAUAAGCCUGGGAAACUGGGUCUAAUACCGAAUAGGACCAUUUAGCGCAUGCUUUAUGGUGGAAAGCUUUUGCGGUGUGGGAUGGGCCCGCGGCCUAUCAGCUUGUUGGUGGGGUGACGGCCUACCAAGGCGACGACGGGUAGCCGGCCUGAGAGGGUGUCCGGCCACACUGGGACUGAGAUACGGCCCAGACUCCUACGGGAGGCAGCAGUGGGGAAUAUUGCACAAUGGGCGCAAGCCUGAUGCAGCGACGCCGCGUGGGGGAUGACGGCCUUCGGGUUGUAAACCUCUUUCAGCAGGGACGAAGCGCAAGUGACGGUACCUGCAGAAGAAGCACCGGCCAACUACGUGCCAGCAGCCGCGGUAAUACGUAGGGUGCGAGCGUUGUCCGGAAUUACUGGGCGUAAAGAGCUCGUAGGUGGUUUGUCGCGUUGUUCGUGAAAUCUCACGGCUUAACUGUGAGCGUGCGGGCGAUACGGGCAGACUGGAGUACUGCAGGGGAGACUGGAAUUCCUGGUGUAGCGGUGGAAUGCGCAGAUAUCAGGAGGAACACCGGUGGCGAAGGCGGGUCUCUGGGCAGUAACUGACGCUGAGGAGCGAAAGCGUGGGGAGCGAACAGGAUUAGAUACCCUGGUAGUCCACGCCGUAAACGGUGGGUACUAGGUGUGGGUUUCCUU
rnacentral:rRNA from 1 species